rnacentral:ncRNA from 1 species
AAGCCUGGUCCUGACUUUACCAUCCGCCCCAACCAGAUUUAUACAUGCAAGUAUCCGCAUCCCCGUGAGAAUGCCCCUAAAAUCCUGCCCGGAAACGAGGAGCAGACAUCAGGCACGCCCGCGCAGCCCAAGACGUCUUGCUUAGCCACACCCCCAAGGGAACUCAGCAGUAAUAAACUUUAGACCAUAAGUGAAAACUUGAUCUAGUUAUGGUUGUCAGAGGGCCGGUAAAACUCGUGCCAGCCACCGCGGUCAUACGAGUGUUAGCCCAAGUGGAUGGUCAACGGCGUAAAGAGUGGUUAGGGGCCUCCAAAACUAAAGCUGAACGCCCUCCGGGCUGUUAUACGCAUCCGAGAGCAUGAAACCCUGCCACGAAGGUGGCUUUAACCUUACCCGAACCCACGACAGCUAGGGCACAAACUGGGAUUAGAUACCCCACUAUGCCUAGUCGUAAACCUUAAUAGAAACUGCACCCAUUCUAUUCGCCAGGGUACUACAAGCACUAGCUUAAAACCCAAAGGACUUGGCGGUGCUUUAGACCCACCUAGAGGAGCCUGUCCUAGAACCGAUACCCCCCGUUCAACCUCACCACUUCUAGCCCAAACCGCCUAUAUACCACCGUCGUCAGCUUACCCCGUGAGGGACUAAUAGUAAGCUAAACUGGCACAGCCCAAAACGUCAGGUCGAGGUGUAGCGCACGAAGUGGGAAGAGAUGGGCUACAUUUUCUGAUCCCCAGAAAACUACGGAAGGAAGAAAUGAAAAGAUUCCUGAAGGAGGAUUUAGCAGUAAGCGGGGAAUAGAGCGCCCCACUGAAAUAGGCCCUUAAGCGCGCACACACCGCCCGUCACUCUCCCCAAUUCCUACCCUGUCAUAACCUAUAGUCUUAAAUGGAUAAAGGGGAGGCAAGUCGUAACAUGGUAAGUGUACCGGAAGGUGCACUUGGACAACACAGGGUGUGGCUAAAUAGCAAAGCACCUCCCUUACACCGAGAAGAUGUCCGUGCAAUUCGGACCACCCUGAUCCUAAAAAGCUAGCCCGCCCCUUAGAGAAACAACCCCCUCUAAAUUAAAUUACCCAUGAAACAAGCAACAAACCAUUUUACUUCCCCAGUACCCGGGCGACAGAAA